rnacentral:rRNA from 1 species
AACGAACGCUGGCGGCAUGCCUAACACAUGCAAGUCGAACGAGAACUUCGGGUCUAGUGGCGCACGGGUGCGUAACGCGUGGGAACCUGCCCUUAGGUUCGGAAUAACUCCCCGAAAGGGGUGCUAAUAACGGAUAAUGUCUUAGGACCAAAGAUUUAUCGCCUUUGGAUGGGCCCGCGUUGGAUUAGCUAGUUGGUAGGGUAAAAGCCUACCAAGGCGACGAUCCAUAGCUGGUCUGAGAGGAUGAUCAGCCACACUGGGACUGAGACACGGCCCAGACUCCGACGGGAGGCAGCAGUGUGGAAUAUUGGACGAUGGGCGAUAGUCUGAUCCAGCAAUGCCGCGUGAGUGAUGAAGGCCUUAGUGUUGUAAAGCUCUUUUACCCGAGAUGAGAAUGACGGUACCGGGAGAAUAAGCACCGGCUAACUCCGUG